GACAGAGGCCUCGAGCGUUAGGCGGAAUCACUGGGCUUAAAGCGUGUGUAGGCGGAUCGUUAAGUACCUUGUGAAAUCCCACGGCUCAACCGUGGAACGGCUGGGUAUACUGGCGGUCUUGGGCCAUUCAGGGGCGACUGGAACAAGCGGUGGAGCGGUGAAAUGCGUAGAUAUCGCUUGGAACGCCGAAGGUGAAAACAGCUCGCUGGGGGUUUGCUGACGCUGAGACACGAAAGCCAGGGGAGCAAACGGG
rnacentral:rRNA from 1 species